AACGCUGGCGGAAUGCUUUACACAUGCAAGUCGAACGGUAGAGGGGGCAACCCCUUGAGAGUGGCGAACGGGUGAGUAAUAUAUCGGAACGUGCCCAGUCGUGGGGGAUAACGUAGCGAAAGUUACGCUAAUACCGCAUACGAUCUAAGGAUGAAAGCGGGGGACUCGCAAGAGCCUCGCGCGAUUGGAGCGGCCGAUAUCAGAUUAGGUAGUUGGUGGGGUAAAGGCUCACCAAGCCAACGAUCUGUAGCUGGUCUGAGAGGACGACCAGCCACACUGGAACUGAGACACGGUCCAGACUCCUACGGGAGGCAGCAGUGGGGAAUUUUGGACAAUGGACGCAAGUCUGAUCCAGCCAUUCCGCGUGCAGGAUGAAGGCCCUCGGGUUGUAAACUGCUUUUGUACGGAACGAAAAGGUUUCUAUUAAUACUAGGAGCUCAUGACGGUACCGUAAGAAUAAGCACCGGCUAACUACGUGCCAGCAGCCGCGGUAAUACGUAGGGUGCAAGCGUUAAUCGGAAUUACUGGGCGUAAAGCGUGCGCAGGCGGUUAUGUAAGACAGAGGUGAAAUCCCCGGGCUCAACCUGGGAACUGCCUUUGUGACUGCAUAGCUAGAGUACGGUAGAGGGGGAUGGAAUUCCGCGUGUAGCAGUGAAAUGCGUAGAUAUGCGGAGGAACACCGAUGGCGAAGGCA
rnacentral:rRNA from 1 species